rnacentral:rRNA from 1 species
GUCUACNGCCAUACCACCCUGAACANGCCCGAUCUCGUCUGAUCUCGGAAGCUAAGCAGGGUCGGGCCUGNUUAGUACUUGGAUGGGAGACCGCCUGGGAAUACCGGGUGCUGUAGGCU